rnacentral:rRNA from 1 species
GACGUAGGGCGCGAGCGUUGUCCGGAAUUAUUGGGCGUAAAGAGCUCGUAGGCGGCUUGUCGCGUCGACUGUGAAAACCCGUGGCUCAACCAUGCGGUCUGCAGUCGAUACGGGCAGGCUAGAAUUCGGUAGGGGAGACUGGAAUUCCUGGUGUAGCGGUGAAAUGCGCAGAUAUCAGGAGGAACACCGGUGGCGAAGGCGGGUCUCUGGGCCGUAACUGACGCUGAGGAGCGAAAGCAUGGGGAGCGAACAGG